AAACAAUGUAAUGACAUAUGAGAUGGCUAAGAUGGAGCAGGCUCACAGUGGCACGCUUCAUCAAAACUCCACCAGUCCCUGUGAGUCUUCGCCAUAUUUGUCAAACUCUUUUCUGCUAUAAGCAGAGGCAAAAGGUUUUGAGUCAGCACUGAGUAGGAGUUAUGCCAUCAUACAGAUAUCUAGGAGUUAACAGUCAGAUCUGUCUUACUCAGUGCAAGUGUCCACCAAUACUCCCAUGCUGUGUGAUCUCCCUCAAGACGAUCUAUUUCAUAACCUUACCUGGCACUGAGGUCAGGCUGACAGGCCUGUAGAUCCCCAGAUCCUCCUUACAACCCUUUCUGAUGAGAUGAGAUUUAACUACAUAAAACUUAAAGUAGAGAAAGUAAACUAUUCAGAGGUUACCCUUCAAAGUCUCUCUGCUACCUUGAGUUCUGCAGUGGAGCCAGGACUGAGGUGUGACAGCAUCUAUAGCUCGAGCAUGAAUUGAGGAUGUGGUGUGAACACAUGCCAUGGAUAGAUUAUGAUUCUCAACUGCCUGCGAACAUGUGCAAUUACAAUAUAAAUAUGUAAGUGAAUAACACUUCUAAGAAUGUAAGUCUGCUGAAGGAAAGGGAUUUUGAAAAAAGAUUACUGAAUGUAUUCAUGAAAACCUUCCAAACUGGUGCAGUGUAGCUCUGAAAUUUAAUCAACUCAGAUGACUUAGAAUUACUUGGAAGUGAAAACACUGCUCAGAAAGCAUCAUCAGAGUGUAUUCAUGUUUCCCUUUUGUAAGAUUUUCUGUUUAAUGUUCUCUGGAAAACAAACAAACAAAAAAAAAAUAAACAGAAGAACCCUAUAUACAUAUAUAUAUAUAUAUAUAUAUAUAUAUAUAUAUAUGUAUGUAUGUAUUAAUCAAGGUAAGUUGACUCCAUAGAAAUGUUUGGGUUGUUACAGGACAGUGCCAGAAGAUUACCUUUGAAUAUUUUUCUCUUCUCUCCAAUUAUCUUGUAGACUUAAAUAUACAGGGCAAUGUUUCAGUCCUAAGAAAUUAGUAUUUACCAACAGGUAUUACUACCAGGAUUCACAAAUCAGGAGGUUCUCAACACUUCAGACCUGUGCCAGCAGUUUUUAAGGACAGAUAAUAUUUCAAGCACCUUUGUUUUUCUUUCAGUAGUUGUUUCAAGUCAGUAUGGCCUGACUGCAUCAUGCUAAAGCUAAGGAUCAAAACAGCCUAUAAACCAUGAUCAGGGUUGGUUGGUUUGUUUGUUUUUUUGGUGAAAGAGGGAGAGCUAUAGCUUGAAAUACAGCUAUUAGAAGACAGAAAGGACUACUUAGACUCCAUAUUUAAGGGAAAAAAUAGGGCCUGGGAAAUUAUCAGUCAUUUGGUCAGCUUUUUACUUUGAUAUCUGCAAGAACUUCAUUCGUCAAGUUUAUUUUAUUUAUCAGGUGUUUUUAAACACUAUGGAGUUUUCAGGGAUGGCCCUUAUCAAAUUGCUUUUGUUUUGUCCUUUGGUGGGAGUGCUGCUCUGCAGAAGGCAGAUGGUAGUGCUAUGUCUGACUUCAGUAAAAUUUUAUUAAAUCUUAAGCAAAUCGUGCAGUGAAGUGAAAGCAGUCUAACUUGAGAAGGUGGAUUUGGAGUGAUUAUAUAAUGUCACAGUAGGGCCACAUGUGGGUCUGUUUGGUCCAUUUUUAUUCAGUAUUUUUAUUAGCAGCAUUAGUGGUGAGUUUUCUAAGUUUACUCUUGUAUGAACCUGCCUUACUGUGCAGAACAGAACUGAUACAGAACAUUGUAAAUUAAUAUGAUAGCAUUCAGAAAAGGCAAGUAUAAAGUACUACAGUUACCAAAGUGAAAUCAAAUGCAUGACUUUAAAAUGCAGUAUAUCCCACUGAAAUGCUGCAUACAACAAUCGUUUUAGUGUGGUUAGCAAACCAAUACUAAGUCAACAAUGUAAGUGAUACUGUUGAAGGUAGAGGGAAGAAAAAGAAAUCUCUGAGGGGUGUAUUAAUGGAAGUGUCAUACAAUGCAGGAGGGGAGAGGUACGUCCUGCUGCUGAAGGUGUACUGUGUCCAGGCCUGAGCUCCUUUAACAAGCAAACUGGAGGAGAAUGGCAAAAAAUUAUAUAUAUAUAUAUAUAAACAAAUAUAUAAUAAUGAAAUAUUUUGAUUUGUUGAGUUUAAAAGGAGAGAGGCUGAGUGGACAUAAUCUGUAAGUAUUUGUAGAUAUGUAAAAUCUCAGUAGAGGGGGAUUAUAAGAAGCUCCAUCAGUGGAGCAUAAAGUAACCAACUUCUAAGUUGUCAUGAGGAAAAAUAAAAAGAAAAUUGAAACAAAAAGCAUUCUAAUAAUUAAAGCAGUGUCGAGUUUCAUUUCCUGGGAGCUCCUGGGAGUAAUAUAAAUAACCAGUAGGAAUCAUAAGAUGACCUCUGGCCAUUGUAGCCUACACUUUGCUUUUACACUGUGGUAUGAACAGAAGUUUGAUUAUGUCAGUGGCUGCCACUGUGUUUAGCACUUAUGGGACUCCCAGAGGAAAAACCAGUGCAUGCCAAACCAUUUUUUUCUGUCCUAGGAAAUUCACUGGUGGAAUAGGCCUGAGUGUAAAUACCUGUGAAGUAGCAAGGGCUGCAGAACUGCCCUUCAGAGGAGUAGGAAUAUAAGUGCCAACUCAAAAGGUCACAGCUGAAAUCUGUGUGUAUACCUAGUGCCUGAGGACACACGCCUAUUGGAGGUGGUAGCAAGAAGUGAAGUUCCAGGCUGUUCCAGUCAUCAAAUGGUCCAUGACGAUGGUAAUUACCAGCAUGAAUACAAAGCAACAUGUUUUCCUUGUCAGACUGAUAACUUUUUGUCCAUGAUCUUAUUGGCAGUGCUUCCAGUCACAAGUGUGAUUCUGGUACUCCUAGAGCCAGCAUUGUCAUGUUUUGCUGUCAUGUUUUGAUGUUACCAGCAUCCAUAAUUAAAUGUAUGCAUCAUCUUGGAAGCAUCCAAGUAAAAUGAUGCUUUUUAACUUCUUGAAAAGGUUAAAAAGAGGACUUUCGCAGUCUGUCCUCUUCUACAUCUGUCCUUUGUCACGGGAUCAUUCAGGCUCUGGUUUUAAUUCUCUCUUUUCAUUAUGCUGUUUAAUUCUUCAAAUUUAAAUCUCAAUCAUCUUUAUACAUCACAAGAAGAUGAGAAAGAUCAGAGGAUGUAUAUCUAAUAUGCUUGUUAAACCAAGAUUCAGUCUCUGAAAGAUGUUCUCACUUCAUCUACAUUUGGUCCCAAAGAAACAGCUUUUCUCUUACUCAGGGGUGGGAGUGUGCCCAGGGCUUUUGCUUUCUCCCCAGCUAUGUUUUAUUGAUCAACCUCAGCAAAGCGAGUGCCUGAAUUAACAAGCUAAUGACCACUCUUUGGCCUAUGUAAUGGAAUUUCUCCUAUCACUACCGAUAAUCUCUCUUGAAGAGAAAACAUGGUAUUGAAAAACCAGGAGGACGUCUGGGCCACAUGACUCCAGAAUCAUGACAGGCAGUUGUUCGUGUGUGGCAGGUACAAUUGCACGGGAUCAAUGGCCAGUUUCAAUGCCCAAGAAUGCUGCUGCAGACCAGGAUCCAACCACUUCAGACGUGCUGCUUCAUAAGAAUUCCUGGGGGAGAGAACUCAGCUGUUCACACAUGCAUGGAAACAUGAGGGAGUGAAACCACUCACAGGGGUCACACACACAGUCUUGGGAAAUUGGGAAUAAGAACUGUGUCUCAAAGCUCUCAGUUCAAAGUCUGAACCACGAGAUCAUUAUUUUCCCCCACAUCAGUGAAGCCCUGUUUCACCACUUCCAGCAGCUGAUAAAUUACUUGCUUGAGCUGCUUCAGCAUCAGAACUUUGAGGGGAAAGGUAAGAAGCAUGCGUAGAAGCCAUCAUUUCAUUGUGAAGCUUUAAGAUGUGUUUCAUGAAUAGUUGACUAAAAGAUAGUAAAAAUAGGGGUUUGUUUGUUUACUUAAAGUUGUUUUCAUUUUAUAAAGAGUUUGUUGGUUAGUUUCCCCUCCAGGAAGCUGAGAGCUGCCUAUGAAUGCCUGCUGGGUGAAAUACUCCGUUCCUUAAGAGGCUUCGUCUGAUGGUCUCUUUGCAGUGAUCAUUCUCUGUUAUGCCUUAUGUCAAAUUGCCCCAGAGUUACCUUACAAUCACUUAUAAACCCCCAUUUUGGUGUUACAUUGUCCUGAAGAUAAGGACAAAUACCCAGUAAUUGAUUGCAAAAUAGCAGCUGCAAGUUUUCUUUCACAGAAACCCUGCAGUUUUCUUGUGGGUACGUCUGCACUGUGACCUGGUGGUGUUAGGGCAGCUCACGCAGAUGGGCAGUAAGGUUUAGGUAUCAAUACAGACAUAUAUUGUUCAUGGUUGUCUCCCGUGUUGAAGUCUGGACAGUGAUCCAUGCUGUCAGUAGCCAGCCUAGCAGGAUGAAGGCCAACCUGGGCUCAUCUCCACCUUAUGGGCUUUGUUAAAACUCCUGAGACUGGAGGAAAUUUCUAUCAGCUCCUUUGUGGACAGAACUGUGGGACAGUUAAGUUUCCUGUGCUUUUUGUCCCCUCUUUUUUUUUCUUGUAGAAUUGACUGCACUCACUGUAUACGCUGUAUAACUAUUCUGUCUCUCUUACCUGGGCAGUUCCUUUAUGUCUUACUCAUUAUAUUUUCCAUGGUUUCAUUACAUGCAACUGGUCCCAUUUCUUCUUUUCUCCUGGCGGAGCCAUGCUGAUUUCCCUUCAAUAUCACUUACUGAUUGUCCCGUUUAUCUGUCCUGUCUUGUUCUUCCACUUCCAGGCAGUGCCCGUUGUUUUGCAGCAGGUCAUUGCCACUGCACGUUUCCCAGUGGCAGUCAGACAACACUUGAAGUAUUUCCUUCAUUUUCUCUCUUCAGUGCCUGGCUUCUUAGUUUGUUUUUCCAUCUGAAAAAAUCCAGUUAUUUUUUCGGUUAAUAAGUCACAAAUCUGCUUUCCUCUAAAUCUGGUAUAGCCCAGGUAUGUGUUUCUUUCUACCUCUGCCUGGGCAUCUGUUCGUAAGUGCUUCCUCCCUCCAGCAAAUGGUGUUUAUUCAUCUUGCUUUUAUCUAUUGGCCAAUACUGCUGACCUAAGAUAGUAAUAAAAGCAGUAGGAAGUACUCAGAGCUGCCAAAAUAGUGACAUACCAUUCCAUAUCUGUGACGGUCUGUUUCAGAUUUUCAGAUUAUGAGAAUUUACUUCAUGCUGCCAACAAACUACGUUGCAUGUAGGAUGCGGUGUGUAUUUAACCUACGCAGUUUUUACGUAGAGAUUGAUUGCAAAGGGCUGAACUUCCAAACAGUUAACCUUUGUUUUAGAGAAUCAUAGAAUGGGUUGGGUUGGAAGGGACCUCAAGGAUCAUCAAGAUCCAACCCUUCUGCCACAUGCAGGGCCACCAGCCUCCAUACCUAAUAUGGCUUCUGUCUCAAAGGAACUCAAAGGGUUUUGAAUGACCGAAGAAGAGAUUUACAGUGGAACUUAGGAAUUCAGAGUUACAGUUACUGUGGAGUUUUAAUACUUCUGUAAUGGACGAACUCCAAGCAGGAGUUCCAGAUUUCUGUAAGAGCUGUGAGGGUAAUGAUGGGGUGAUCUGAGCAUAGUGAGAAUCAGUGAUGGUUGGUAAGCAGUUUGUGUCCACAUGGGGAGCACCUUGCUUCGUACAUGUUGGGUGCAAACAUUUAUGUGCAGUACAACAGCUAUUUUACGAGAACCAGGCUGAGUUUCCAAACCAUCACACAGAGGUUCUCAAUGAGCACAGGAUUUACAGAAGAUAUGUCUGAAGGACACUCCCAGAGGUUGUGUUUCCCUGGGGUGCUGAGAUUUUCAAGUUCUGGAUGCACACACACGAAAUACCCAGAAGGCUGCUCUCAGAGACAUGAGAUGCUGUGGGUAUGUGGAGGAAAGGUGUCUUACUGUGCUCUUCUGCUUUUCCCUAUGCUCUGGUUGUUGUUGGGAGCGCUGUGCUGGUGGGUGGCAGUGCCCUGGGCCUGGCUGAGUGCAGAAUGGUAGGUAGCAAAUAAUUCACUCCUCUUCAAACGAAAGAAAAAUGUCCUGGGUUUACAGUCCGGCUGUGUUUUCAGAAGUUUUGUUUGUGAACUUUAAAAGUUUGGCCAUCAGCAGUAAAACUUAGGAGCAGAUUCAAGCUCUGUAAGCAGGCACGUCCAGCCCAUGGCCCGCAGGCUGCGUGCCGCCUGCACAGCUUGCGCUGUGGACCCAGAGCCCUGCAUCAUCAUGGCAGAGCCAGUGGUGGUGACUGUGAUGGAAGAAAAAGAGAGUGUUUUGUAGACUCUGCCAUGUCAUUGCGCUCUUCGUAUUGGUUGCAGUUCCCGUGGAAACAAACGGAAGGCAUUACUUUCGGAGCAACCCCCACAGGUGGUGGCUCUCGCCAGUCCCCCUCCGCUCGCUGGGGCCCGGGCAACCCCGAAAGACUGCAUGCCUGGAGUGUUGAGGGCUGCUCCGAAAGUAAUGCCUCCCACUUCGUGCUGUCGACCAGAGGCGGAUGUGGGCGGCACGGGGGUGCACGGUGAACCUUCCCACCCCUAUCCCGCUACGUUUUAUAGUUGCGUUUUGUCGCCGUGUGACGGAUGGCAGCAGAGGGGCAGCCCGACAUUCUGCAACACUUUCCGUACCGCUCCCUUCUCCCAGCGUGCCUCUAUCCACGCUCUCCCUCCCGUUGUUUGCUCUGGGUUCGGACAUUUUACAGUUAUCACUUCAGCGGCUCUUCUAGCGCGAAGGGGGGCAGUGCGGAUAAAUGGGACGUCAGCCUUCUAACGCGACCCGAGCGCUGCUUUCCUCACGGCAGCACGGCGGGGCUCCUCCCGUCCCAGCGCAGCGCCCCGCGGGCCGAUCGCUGCGUCCCGGGCCGGCGCUCAGCCCGCCGCUGCCGAUCGGGCGUUCCCGCGGAGCGCCGCGCGCGUCGGCCGGAGGGCGGCAGUGCCCCUCCACGCACGGCCCGGGGCCGCCGCUCGGCGCCGCGUUCCGGGGAUUUCUGUCGCUGUCCGGGGGGGUUUUGAGUAACAAAUUCGGUUCGAAAGGCAGCGUUGCUGUCCUGGGUUGGUGUGUGCGUGUGGGGGGCGGGGGGGUAAGCGCAAAUCCCGGACGUCUGCUCUCUGCGUUUCCCUCACCCGGUGAGAGCCCACCGGGGGUCUGCCAAGGUGUGAGGCAGGGUUGGGAACUGCCGUGCCGCCUACCUGCGCUGUUUUAUAACACGGAGCGGCCAAACGAAGCGUUUCGGCGCGCGGCUGCGGCGGGUGGGGGAGGGCGGGAACCACUGCUGAGGGGGGCGAUGGACGCCGGGGGUGGAACCGUCCCUCAGAGAGGAUCUCAGGGGCUGGAAGGGACCUCGGGAGCAUCAGCCCAACCCCCUGCUAAAGCAGUUCACUACAGUAGUUGAACAGGAACGUGCCCGGGUGGGUUUUGAAUAUCCCCAGAGAAGGCAGCUCCACCACCUCGCUGGGCAGCCUGUCCCUUCAGGUAUCCCUUCACCUCACAGUAAGGAAACCCUUCCUCACGUUUAUAGUGAACUUCCUGUGUUCCGCUUUGUGCCCAUUGCCCCUUGUUCUGUCAUGGGGCACCACUGAAAAGAGCCCGGCCUCAUCCACUUGACUCCCUUUAGGUAUUUAUAGGCACUGAUAAGAUCCCCCUCAGCCUUCUCUUCCCCAGGGUGCACAGCCCCAGGUCUCUCAGCCUUUCCUCAUCCAGGAGCUGCUCCAGGCCCUCACCAUCUUUGUGCCCCUUCACUGGGCUCUCUCCAGCAGUUCCCUGUGUUCACUGAACUGGGGAGCCCAGAGCUGCACACAGCGUUUCUUUCCGAAUGGGGACUUUACAUUUACAUCUGUAGGUGUGUUUGCAACCUCCGUGCCAGGUGCAUGCAAGAAAACGGGCAGCGUGUGAAUCCGAUGGCAGUGUGUGGGUCUGUCCCUCACAGGGCUGUGCAGGGCUGAGGGAAGCAGUGACGGCUCCGCUGAGCAGUGACAGUCACAGAGCUUUCUGCUCUCAGCUGGAGCACACGGGCAGUGCAGGAGGAUGGAGAGCCCAAACCCGCAAGGAAACAUCAGUGCCUCAGCGUCAAUUCUCACGCUUUUGCUUCGCUGUUCAUCUUCAAACGCCAAAAUCUUAAGAACCAAACCAAAGAGAAUCCCAUACGUGGAGCAGCUGGCGCCAGCCCCUUGCUCUGCUCAGAGGGAUGCAGCACAGAGGCGAUCAAUUAGUUAACUGUGCGAGGAGAUCCCAUUUCCUACUUUGCUUUUUAAAAAGCAUUUUUUUUGUGUGUGUGUUUGUUCCUUUCCCAUUGCCUCACCGAUGGUCACUGUGUUAGGGCUGUGCACCGUGGUUUGUUUUGGUCUGCAGGUGUGGGAGUUGUCGUGCAGCCUUGAAGCACAGAGGUGCGCACGGCUCAGUUCCUGCUCCGGGGUUGAUGUGAGCGGUGCAGCUCUUUAAUUUCAUAUAUCACACCGUGGGUUCAAAGUGAUGCUGAAAGGCUCACCCUGACACCAACAGUUGGCUGACAAAGGAGCUUUGGGGGAGAAAUAAGGUGGUGAGCGUCGGAUUAUUGCUGCUGGGAGAGGGCUGAGCUCGCAAUACCGAGUAAAACCCCCGAUCAGCUCGUGCAAAUUAGGCGAAGCGUGCACCGAAAGGGCUAUUUUGGGGACCGAGGCUCGCGGAGCGGUAGCGAUGGAGCGUUUCCCCGCUGGAUCGGGGUCAGGCGCUCCCGGCGCGGCGCUGGGAGGCUCAGCCCGCAGCGCAGCAGUAGCGCUGCUCGGCCGCAGGGGGCACCGCGCUGCCCCGGCCCCGCAGCGCUGCGGGCUCAGCCCCGGCCCCGCGGCCCGGCACGCCGAGCCCUUCUGCUCGCGCUGACCCCGGGCUCCUGCAUUAAGAGAUCAGCGCCGGCUCCCGCCCGGCCCGCGUGAACGGAUUUGGUGUCAAGGGCAAGGAAAGGCUGCUGCUGCCCGCAGCACCGCCGGCCCCGGGCUGCUGGAGGGGGGCCCAGGUGAGGUUCCCGCAGCGCGGCCGCCCCGCGCCGCUCCCCCGGCUCCAGCGGAGGGCUGCCCUGCGUAGCCGAGGCUCCCCUCGUUCCUAGAGCGAGGGAUCUCUGUAAUAGAGCGCGCGGGACUCCCAGCUUCCUUCCCAUUUCAGGCGGGUUUAUAACAGCCCCAAUUAACGCGUCACCUGGGAAGGCACGGUUCCCACAUCCACCGCCUUAUGACAGCUCGGUGGAGCCGAAGAGCGGCGCUCGUUACAGGGGACCGUAGCCCCGGCUAGCAGGGCACAUCGCACACAAGUUUCGGAAGGCAGCAGAGAAAGAGACACUUACUGGCUUUCAGGAACGUCGACUCUUAUUUCAAACUUAAUUUAAUUCUUAUGGAGAAAAGAGUUCCUUCAGGAGCAGCCAAAGUUUAAUCAGUAACACAACAGUGAUUUAAGCCCAAUUCUCAGUAUCUUAGUCAUACAGCGCUGCUGCUGCAACUGAUUAGAAACCCCAUUUCAUUGAAAUAUUGCAUGGAAGCAUGCAAAUUCCAGUGUGGAAAGGCAACAGUCACUUCAUCAUUUUAGAUCCCGUGUUAACGCAUCACCAGCUCACACAUUCAAAGCCUUCAGAGAG
rnacentral:lncRNA from 1 species